AUGGGAAUUGUAGUUUUAUUUUUUUACAAAUACGGACUUGGGUAGAAAUAAAACUUUAUGUCAUUUUUUUUAGUUCGUGUGAUUUGGGGAUAUUUGUUGGACAGAAUUGGACAUCAUGAUUCAUAUAUAACUGCGAAUAUUCACUUUGCCCACGUGAGUCACUCUUUUUACACACUGCACGUGUAGUGAUUGUUAAUCAGUCCAAACUUUUUCUUUUGGGAAUGAAUUUAAGGAGAUGUAAGGGUAUAUUUGAACAUGUGUGGAGAAUGAGAGCAUGUUCAAAAUAUUCCUGAUACUACAAAUAAUAAAGCAGAGAAAUGGACCAGACUUAAUCCACCUCAACAAACAAAAGUAUGGUCAAUCAGUAGUACGGUAGUUUAUGGUGAACAUUUAUUUUAUUUUUGCCUUUUAGACUUGAACUUUGGUGUAUUUCAUUAUUGACAAACCCUUUUUCUUUUUUUUAUUGUUGGGAAAAAGUUGUAGGCCUUUUUUUUUCUCAUUGAUAGUUUGCCUGUGUAAUGUUGUUGUUUCUGCUGAUUGAAAAUGCACCUUGUUUGAUUGAAAUUGUGUUUUAAUGUAUAUGUAUGUCCAAUAGGACACAAAUGAAAAGCCUAAAUGCACCUACUGUGUUCUUCCUCUAGAUGACAGUGUUGGUAAGUUACUCUUUGCUUGGUGUACAGUGUAGAGACGUUAAUGUGACGCGUGUGAUUCUCCGGCAGACCAAUUUCCUUCAACUCAACAUCAUUUUGAGGUUAUUUGAACGUCGCUUUAACAGUCCGUUAACGAAGAGGCUCGCGUGUCCUGUGAAACUGUAAAGAAUAAUCCCUCAUUGGCCUUCCUAUAAGUCUACGUCUAGUGACUUGGACUUCUAUCAAUGAAUAAGUUUAAUGAACUAGUGCAAAAAAGGGACUUUUGUUGUCUAUUUUCAUAGAGCAAGUAUCUUUGUUUACUGAGCGUUUUUCCAACUCAAGUUUAUAAAGGGAUUCAAACAAGAAAGCAACUUUAGUCAAUAAAUCUAAUGUUGUCACAUCAAAGUGAUUUCUUUCUUUUUUUUUUAAAUAACUUAUAGACUAUCAAUGUAGUUGACAUUAAGCAAAUCAAGCAACGGUUCAAGUGUAAAUUCCAAAUGUGUGACCACCAGGUCCCUGUUCCCCGUUAGGAGGGUGGGCGCGAUCCUCCUGGGAGCGCCGUCAUUGGCUAUGACAGCUGAAUGAGCGUGGGGCCGAGCGGGGGGUCGUGACCUGUCCAGUGGGGCGUACUCUCAUGCAUUAACGCGCACUGAAAGGUAUGCACAGCCAGCCCGGCUUUUCUUUUUUUUUUUUUUCUUUUUUUUUUAACAAAGUACAGAGAAAGCUGGAUAACGACACCCGAGGGGAGAGAAAGACAAACUUCACACAACAUGAGCGAAACGAAGAUGGCCUCUUUGACAUUAACCUAAACAGAGAAUCAAGGUACACAACGGGUUUUAUUGUAAAGUAAUAAAUAAAAUGUCUCCCACUUGUCAUGUGAUUUAGAUUCUAGAUGUCCGAACAAAUCACACUCUUAACAAACUUUCCCAACCGUGUCUGCCGGCCAGAACUCAGAGACAGACAUGCGGUCCUGUCUCGCUCUCUCUUCUUUAAACCACAACAGGCUCUCUGCUCUGCAUUCCAGACGAGUAAAUAACUCUCAGAGAAACAUUUAUUUCAUUUGUUUCUUUACAUUAAUUCCUUCUGCUUGAUGUAUACAGCCAAGAAGCUCCUCCAGCUGGUGUGUGUGUGUGUGUGUGUUACAGAGGACCUGAUAGCUUGGGGGUCUACAGCGAGGCAGAGGAGUGAAGCUCCCUUUUCUUUCCCCGCAUCUUCUUUCUUUCAUCCCAUCUCCUUACAUUGGUAUUUUCCAGCUCCUUCCUCUUGUCCCCACUUCUUGGUUGUUGUUAUAAUAACAUUAAGUAUUGUCACCGACCUCUUAAGGUGGCCGCGUUAUGACGGGGCCCUCUCACCUUGUUCUGUGGAUUCUAUUGGAUGACCUUUCUACGUGGAGGAUAUCGAUGUCCGGAAAGCACUUGCUCUGUGUGUAUUAGAUCAAUGAAACCUGCUUUCGGCGACUGAAUUCAGGAAGUGGCUUCUUCCAGUGAGCUAUGGGCUCAUUCGAAGUCACCUCUGACGCCAGGAAGUGUGGUAACUUUGGAGUCUCGAUUAUUGACCAUUCGAAGCAGGAAGUUCCCACUCGCCUUGAUCUGAAGCUGUUCAUUUUGACCCUGGGCACCAGGAAGUGUCCUUUCUACUUCCACUGGAUCUAUGGAGUCGCUGCUCGUUAUGACCUCGGGCAGGAAGUGUCCUCUCGGUUGGAUGGAUGGAGCUAUUCUUAUUUCCUUCAGAGACCAGGCCAAGCAUUGUGUGGAGUUGGCUCCUUCUUCUCCUCUGAUGUUGCCGGAGGGUUAAACUGACGUACGUCUGCCAAAUCAACUACUUGGAACGGGGAGAUGAAACACCGACUGGACCAAUCAAUGAGCAGCAGGAAAGACCGUCUGACACCUGACAAGAACCGUAUGAGCUUACAGCGCCAAUAAAAUAUUGACUUCAUUUUUUAAUUAACUUCAAUGCGGUCUGUUUUUUUUACUGACACUCACAGCAGCGGCACCACAAUUUGGGUUGGUUCCUUAUAUAAAAAUCUGCCAAUAAAGGGUUCACAGUGAAAUGAUUAGGUAUUCCCUCUUUCAGUCUUAAUCCUGUGUUCAUUUUCUGCAAUAAAUGCAUUAAGUCAUUAA